GAUGUAGAGUCUAAGAUAAAAGCGGGCUAACCUAGAAGGGGUAUGGCAGUUUUUUACACCUACACCCCUUUGGGUUUUACACGGCAUCGUACCGGUACGCUAAAUCGCUUUGCAGCACGACUUUGUCGGUAGAGUGCAAGCUAGUUUCGGCG